UAAAGAGCAGCAACGUUUCGACCUGCUAAGAGAGACAUCUUAGCAGGUCGAAACGUUGCUGCUCUUUGU